rfam:Camelus ferus unplaced genomic scaffold scaffold873, whole genome shotgun sequence.
GACGGUGUAGCUCAAGUGGUAGAGCACAUGCUUAGCAUGCACAAGGUCCUGGGUUCAAUCCCUAGUACCUCCU